CAUUUCACUAUCUGAAGAGCAGAAAAUGUGUUAAUAGGAGCCUGGUGAGUGGAGGAGACUGAAGAUGGAGAGAGAGCCUGGACCUCAACAUGAGCAUCUGGAGCCAUUUGGCAGCAUUAGGCUGUGACCGCUUAGAGAACCGAAAGGUGCAGAGCUUUAAAGGAUUAUGGAGUCUGAAGACCAAAUGGGAUGAUGGAGAACAGCUAUUCAGUGGUACAAAUGUAAAUGCUCCCAGGCCCGGGCAGAAAAGAGAAAACAUUUCCAUGGAAGAGGAAACAGGAAAUUCCAACAGAUCAGCAACAGUUGGAGUGCUAACCUGUCACUGGAAUGGGAAAAAAAAUGCUGUCGUUGACACAUCUUUUCCUUGUUUUUGACACAAAUUAGAAACACCACCUGGAACACAGCUGUGACUUGAUAAACAAGUGAAACAUUCUUUGGUGUGGUGAGGGGAAAACAAAUUUCUCAAAGGACACGCACCAUGGUGUAUGAGAGGACACUGGAGCCCAGCCAGCAUCUGACAUGCUGAAUUCAAAGUGCAGGUGAAAGUAGGACAACUGAUUCACAAGCUGGGAUGCCUGUGUUGUUGUUUGCCAGUGUGCGUGUGUGUGUUUUCCUGGCACCCUUCAUUCAUUCCCCAGCACAGUUGACAUCAGGUUGGAAGCAGUGAGUUCUGAGGGAGACUGCUAGAGGACCCAACUUGGAGAAUCAACGAUCUGCGAUGAAGAUAAUGAAGAUAAAGACAAUGUCAAUGUCAGCGUCCAAAAUCAUAAGGACCCUUUAAGAAGCUUCCAGAGCAGAAGUGACUGUGCAAGAAGGGCCAAUAAAGUCUAGGCAAUGCACGACCAGGCGCGGUCGCUCACGCCUGUAAUCCCAGCACUUUGGGAGGCCGAGGUGGUUGGAUUACCUGAGGUUAGGAGUUUGAGACCAGCCUGACCAACAUAGUUUCACCCCAUCUCUACUAAAAAAAAAAAAAAAAACAAAACAAAAGUUAGCCAGGUGUGGUGCUGCACACCUGUAAUCCCAGCUACUCUGGAAGCUGAGGCAGGAGAAUCGCUUGAACCCAGGAGGCGGAGGUGGCAGUGAGCUGAGAUUGCACCGCUGCACUCCAGCCUGGGCGACAGAGUGAGACUCUGUCUCAAAAAUAAAUAAAUAAAUAAAUAAUAAAGUCUAGGCAAUGCAGCAGACUGCAGACAAAUGGGUCUCCAGACUCAUGAGCACUUGGCUUUUGUUACUCUCACCUCCACCACCCUUUACCUGGUUCUAUAUCUGUCCUUUGGACCUUCCUGCAUUUACCUUCCUGCUUUUGCUCCUUAGUCUGGUUUUUUUUCUUAGUUUUUCUUUUUGGAGAGGCAUUUGAGAUUUGUGUUCCUGUCAACUUGAGAGAGGAAUGGAGGAAGUCAAAGGGAAGAAGAGGAGCUGAUGUUGCAGUCCGAGGGGAAACAGGAGUGAGGGCAGGGAGCCCAGAAGAGGGUCAGGGUGAAGAUGGGUGUGGGGAAGGCAGAGCAAACCAGCUGCUGCUGUCAACCCUGACCUAUUUCCUGGAGCUCUGGGAGCCCUCCCAUCCCUGCUCUCAGCAACAGUGAUGCUGCCUUUGGGCGGCUGUGCAGCCAACCCACACUGAGUGAUAGCUGUCCCUGUCAUUUUCUUAAAUGUCACCAGUGAAAGAGACAUUUCCACCUCCCUGGAGUACACAUACUCCACUUGUGGAUAAGUGGACACUUGGUUCCAUUUUCACAGCUUCCAAAAAUUGGUCACAGAUGACUAACAAUUGUGUCAACUUCUCUGGUAUGAGAAGCCAUAGAUGGAGGUAUACAGAAAUGAUUUCUUAAAAAAUGUAAUGUCCUUUCUAUGUGGCAGUAAAACAUCUUUCCUGCCACUAGGAGAAAUGUGUUCUUUGAAUUAUUUUCACAGCCAUAAAGGCAGACCUGUGAAAGGCUAUCUGUACUGGAUAGUUCUCUGCUUUCAUGGAUUUUAUUCAGAAUCAUCCAUUCUUGGAAAUGGUGGGGAAAGGGGAAAUAAAAAGAGAACAAAUAUAUGUUGGAUUAGUUAGUAUAAAUUAUAAUUCAUAAACUACAGUGUCCAAGCAAUAUUACCUUCCACAUAUUCUAGAAUAGCUUGGUUCCUAUUUUUGAGCCCCUGCCUGGUGCCAGUAACGUGUUUUCAGCUAAUUCAGGGUUUCUGUCCCCAUUUUCCUUGGAGGAAUAUCUAAGUUCUUUGGGGAUAUUGCUGGUGCCAAGCAUGAAGCUGUUGGAGAACGAGGAGGCUUUGGCAUCUUGUCCUCAGCAUCACGUAAAUCCUAUCAGAACUUAGAAGUGAAAUGGGAAGGAUUGUUUAUCUCCUGCCCAACUAGCUGCUGGGUUGUUCCUUACUCCCACUCACAAGGUCUCUUUGUGUCACUCUAGGUCAUUUUGCUCUCCUGAGACAGUCUGGGAACCACUUUGAGGCUGUUUGAGUCCAGAGCCAUGGCCUAGGCCUCUUGCAGUGUGGGGAUCCUGCUGUGUUCCCUCAGCCGAAUCAGGGGCACUGGGCAGUGCCUUCCCCUCUCCUGGCCUAUUCUCAGCCACGCCUAAGUGAUCUUAUUUCAUCUUGACACUAACCUUGGAUAUUUGAAAUAGAAUUAUUCAUUUACAAAGGAGGAAAAUGAGAUUCAGACAAGCUAAAUACAUGCCAAAGCCACAUAACUACAAGUGGCAGAGCUCAGUCUGCUUUCCAAACCCAUGCGGCUCCCUUCAUCACCGUGACUCACCCACUUUAUCCCCCAACUUCGAGGAAGUCUCUUCUGAUCACCCAAGAAUAAUGUCUGCCUCCUUAGAAAUUUUGUAGCCGUUGGUGUUUCAAUUUUGGGAGUGACAUCUAAUUGUCACACACUGUUUCACAUGCUAGCUAUCUGUGCACGUAUCUAGACAAGCCUGCUUAGGCUGUGGCUCCUGGAAGGCAAAGACCACUUCUUGUGUUUAUCUCUAUCCCAUCUACUAACACCACACUCUGCACAUGAUAAAUGUUUAAUAUAUGAUUGAUUACAAUAAAAACGUGUUAAAAAAUUGGUAAAUGGAUGAACCUCUACUUUCUAUAUGAAUGUAUUCUAUCUGUGUGCUUACACUGCAAUUAUAGGCUAGUUAACAAUGCAUGGCCUAUAGAUGUCUGCCCUUGUUCUUGCCUUCUAGUUCCACAGUCCUUAAUCCACACUGUACUUUGGAGAGCAUACAGGUCCAGCAGUGAUGCGGCUCUAUCUCACGCCUACUCUCUUAUUCUACUUACAGAAUCUGCUGUCCCCUGACUUUUUAAUUUCUCAGUUUUCUGACUCCAUUCCCAGGCUCCAGACAUAGGCCUCUAUGCUCUUCUUUUUAAAGACAAGUCAUUUGGACCCUUACUUGGAGCCUUUCUUGCCCUGUGGUAAGAUUGAAUCUCAACUCUGCAUGCUCCCUCAAUUGCCAGGGCACCUGGGACUCUGGGAACAGACAGGGUCUGUGCCCACAUCAGCCUGGUGGUAUUCUCACUGGCUUGGAGUAUUCUUGCCAGUGUCCUCAUCUUCCCACAGGACAGAAGGAUUAUCAUACGGUGAACAUAUGGAGUGUUCCCAAGGUGCCUCUUAAAAAAUCCCAAUAACUGGUUCAAUGGUACAGCUUAGAAAUGCGUAAUUGAAUUUUUAAAAAUAGUUUAGAUUAAAAUCUAUUUAGAAAAGGGGGAAAUGAUAUAUUUUCUUAUAUAUGCUAUGGCAAAGUUUAAUAUCCAAGGAUAAUCCCUACAGAGUUGUCAGAUCUGUUGGUUAUAAGGGAGAGAUACCUAAUUUAAAUUAAUUUAAGCAAAAGAAGAGAAUGAAUUGUUUAUAUAACUGAAAAGUCUAGGGCUUCAGGCACAAUAGAAUCCAGUGAUAUCUGUCUUUCUCUAAAUCUAGAGACUUUGCUUUCAAACUUUAAUUUGGACCCUAACAGGUGGGGCCUCUCUCAGAAGCAGAGAUACUUUCUCUCUCAGCAUCCAAUUAGUUGCUGAAAAAGUACUCUGAGUGGCCCUGCUUGGGUCAUGCCCGCUAUUAGACCAAUCUGUAUCCACUGAGAAAGGAUAUGCUGGUCAGCUUAGAUUAUGUUUCUUCUACUGUGGUUGUCAAUGCAGGAUCACAUGAUUGUGAGGUCCUCUAGAGUCCUCCAGACUAAGUGAGGCAAGGCAGAUUCCCAAAUGAAACAAUGUAGGGAAGACCGAAAUACCCAGCACAUGCCCAUUGUGUUCAUGAAUUAGGUCCUCCAUAAUGGUCCCCCCCCAUCUCACUACCCCCAGUGAAAUGAAUCUAUGCCCUACAAAUGGCUAAAGGGAAUUAACAUCUGUUGAUCUCUUGUUAAGUUCAAGCACUAUGCAGGGAAUAUUAAAAGCAUCAUAUUCUUUAACUCUUAUAAUUGUCUUCCUUUAUUCCACCUUUUUAACAAGUCUGCCACCAGUUCAGCAAGGCAAGCUAGGUCUCGUGUGGAAGGAAAGCCCUGCAGCCCCUCAGCAUUCACAGCUCUUAUUUUACUCACUGGUAUCUGGUCCUGUCCUCGAUCACUUUACCCUGACCUAACACCAGUCUCUAUUCCACCAUCAGUCAGCCCAGUUUUGCUACACCAAUUGACCAUCUCCAAAGAGUUUCUGACCUACCCCCUCCUUCUACCUGACAGUUCCACACACAGACCCCUUCCUCAUUCUCUGUGACUUACUGUAUUAGUCUAUUCUUGCACUGCUAUAAAGAAAUAUCCGAGACUGGAUAAUUUAUAAAGGAUAGAGGUUUAAUUGGCUCAUAGUUCUAUAGUCUGUACAGGAAGCAUAGAGGCUUCUGCUUUUGGGGAGGCCUCAGGAAAUUUAUAAUCAUGGCAGAAGGUGAAGGAGAAGCAAGCACAUCUUACAUGGCCAGAGCAGGAGCAAGAGGGUAGGGGAGAGCCUAUAUACUUUUAAACAACUAGAUCUCAUGAGAACUCCCUCACCAUUGCAACAUAGUACCAAGAGGAAAAUCCGCCCCCAUGAUCCAAUCACCUCCCACCAGGCCCCACCUCAAACAAUAGGGAGGAUUACAAUUCAACAUGAGAUUUGGGCAGGGUCACAGAUCCAAACCAUAUCAUUCUGCCCCAGCCCCUCCCAAAUCUCAUGUCCUUCUCACAUUUCAAAAUACAAUCAUAUUUACCCAAUAAUGUAUUCCCCCAAAAUUCCCCAAAGCCUUAGCUCAUUUCAUCACUUACUCAAAAGUCCACAGUUCAAAGUUUUAUGUGAGACAAGUCCCUUCUGCCUAUGAGCCUAUAAAAUUAAAAACAAGUUACUUACUCCCAAGAUACAAUUGGGGUACAAGCAUUGGGUAAAUACUCCCAUUCCAAAAGGGAUAAAUUGGCCAAAAGAAAGGGACCCAGCAGGGCAAUCAUUAAAUCUAAAAGCACCAAAAUCAUCUCCUUUGACUUCCAUGCUCCACAUCCAGAGCACACUGGUGUGAGGGGUAGGCUCCCAGAGCCUUCUGCAGCUCUAUGCCUUUGGCUUUGUAGGGUUCAGCCCCUGAGGCUGCUCUCAAGGGCUGAUAUUGAGUGUCUGUGGCUUCUCCAGGUGCAAGGUGCAAGCUGUUGGUGGAUCUGUCAUUAUGGGGUCUGGAGGAUGGUGGCCAUUUUCUCAUAGCUCCAUUAAGAAGUGUCCCAGUGGGGACUUUGUGUGGGGGACCCAACCCCACAUUUUUCCUCUGCACUGCCCUAGUAGAGGUUUUCCAUGAGGGCUCCACUCUUGCAGCAGGCUUCUGCCUAGACGUUCUGGCAUUUCCAUACAUCCUCUGAAAUCUAGGUGGAGGCUCCCAAGCCUCAACUCUUGCACUUUGUGCACCCACAGGCUUAACACCACAUGGAAGCCAACUAGGCUUAUGACUUGCAUCCUCUGAAGCAGGGGCCCAAGCUGUACCUUGGCCACUUUUAGCCAUGGCUGGAGUUGUAGCAACUGGGAUGUAGGAAGCUGUGUUCUGAGGCUGCAAAGGGCAGUGGGGCCCUUGGCCUGUCCAGGAAACCAUUCAAUCCUGUUAGGGCUCUGGGCCUGUGAUGGGAGGAGCUGCCAUGAAGUUCUCUAAAAUGGCUUCAAGGCUUUUUCCUCAUUGUCUUGGCUAUUAGCAUUUGCCUUCCCUUUAGUUAUACAAAUUUCUGCAGCCUGCUCGAAUUUCUCCCCUGAAAAUGAGCUACUACUGUUGCAACAUAGUACCAAACUUUCCUAACACAUGGCCAGGCUGCAAAAUUUCCAAACUUGCAUGCUAUGCUUUUUUUUUUUUUAAAUAUAAGUUCCAAUUUCAGGUAAUUUAUUUGCUUAUGUAUAUGAGCAUAGGUUGUUAGAAGUAGCCAGGUGACAUCUGAAUGCUGUGCUGCUUAGAAAUUUCUUCUGCCAGAUAUCCCAAAUCAUCUCUCUCAAGUUCAAAGUUUCACAGAUCCUUGGGGUAGGGUCAUAAUGCCUCCAAAUUCUUUGCUAAAACAUAACAAAAGUGACCUUUGUUCCAGCUCCCAAUAAGUUUCUCAUUUCUAUCUGAGAACUUCUCAGCCUGGACUUCAUUGUCCAUAUCACUAUCAGCAUUUUGAUUACAGCAAUUUAAGAAGUCUCUUGGAAGUUCCAAACUUUCCAUCAUCUUCCUGUUUUCUCAGCCCUCCAAACUGUUCCAACCUCUUCCCAUUAUCCAGUUAUAAAACUGCUUCUACAUUUUCAGGUAUCUUUAUAACAAUGCCCCACUCCUUGGAACCAAAAUCUGUAUUAGCCCGUUCUCACACUGCUAUAAAGAAAUACCUGAGACUGGGUAAUUUAUAAAGAAAAGAGAUUUAAUUGGCUUAUAGUUUUGCAGGCUGUACAGAAAAUAUACUGGCUUCAGCUUCUGGGGAGGCUUCAGGAAACUUGCAGUCAUGGCAGAAGGAGAAGGAGAAAUAGGCAGAUCUUACAUGGCCAAAGCAGGAGCAUGAAAG
rnacentral:lncRNA from 1 species